GACGAACGCUGGCGGCGUGCUUAACACAUGCAAGUCGAACGGAAAGGUCCUGCUUUUGUGGGGUGCUCGAGUGGCGAACGGGUGAGUAACACGUGAGUAACCUGCCCUUGACUUUGGGGUAUCUUCAGGACACUGGGGCUAAUACCGGAUAGGAGCUCCUGCUGCAUGGUGGGGGUUGGAAAGUUUAGGCGGUUGGGGAUGGACUCGCGGCUUAUCAGCUUGUUGGUGGGGUAGUGGCUUACCAAGGCUUUGACGGGUAGCAGAGCUGCGAGGGGGACCGGCCACAUUGGGACUGAGAUACGGCCCAGACUCCAACGGGAGGCAGCAGUGGGGAGUAUUGUACAAUGGGCGGAAGCAUGAUGCAGCAACGCCGCGUGCGGGAUGACGGCCUUCGGUUUGUAAACCGAUGUCGCCUGUGACGAAGCGUGAGUGACAGUAAUGGGUAAAGAAGCACCGGCUAACUACGUG
rnacentral:rRNA from 1 species